GGCGAAAGGGUGCGUAACACGUGGGUAAUCUGCCGUGAAGUUCGGAACAACUCCGGGAAACCGGGGCUAAUGCCGAAUGUGGAUGUUGGGAUUCCUUUCCGACAUCUAAAGCCGGGGACCGUAAGGCCUGGCGCUUCAUGAUGAGCCUGCGGCCUAUCAGCUAGUUGGUGGGGUAACGGCUCACCAAGGCGAAGACGGGUAGCUGGUCUGAGAGGACGACCAGCCACACUGGAACUGAGACACGGUCCAGACACCUACGGGUGGCAGCAGUCGAGAAUUUUUCACAAUGGGCGAAAGCCUGAUGGAGCGACGCCGCGUGGGGGAUGAAUGGCUUCGGCCCGUAAACCCCUGUCAUUUGCGAGCAAAUUCGCCGCUUGAACAAAGCGGCGGACUGAUAGUAGCGAAAGAGGAAGGGACGGCUAACUCUGUGCCAGCAGCCGCGGUAAUACAGAGGUCCCGAGCGUUGUUCGGAUUUACUGGGCGUAAAGGGUGCGUAGGUGGCAGGGUAAGUUCGGUGUGAAAGCUUCGAGCUC
rnacentral:rRNA from 1 species